CUAUACAUGCAGUCGAGCGGACAGAAGGGAGCUUGCUCCCGGAUGUUAGCGGCGGACGGGUGAGUAACACGUGGGUAACCUGCCUGUAAGACUGGGAUAACUCCGGGAAACCGGAGCUAAUACCGGAUAGUUCCUUGAACCGCAUGGUUCAAGGAUGAAAGACGGUUUCGGCUGUCACUUACAGAUGGACCCGCGGCGCAUUAGCUAGUUGGUGGGGUAAUGGCUCACCAAGGCGACGAUGCGUAGCCGACCUGAGAGGGUGAUCGGCCACACUGGGACUGAGACACGGCCCAGACUCCUACGGGAGGCAGCAGUAGGGAAUCUUCCGCAAUGGACGAAAGUCUGACGGAGCAACGCCGCGUGAGUGAUGAAGGUUUUCGGAUCGUAAAGCUCUGUUGUUAGGGAAGAACAAGUGCGAGAGUAACUGCUCGCACCUUGACGGUACCUAACCAGAAAGCCACGGCUAACUACGUGCCAGCAGCCGCGGUAAUACGUAGGUGGCAAGCGUUGUCCGGAAUUAUUGGGCGUAAAGGGCUCGCAGGCGGUUUCUUAAGUCUGAUGUGAAAGCCCCCGGCUCAACCGGGGAGGGUCAUUGGAAACUGGGAAACUUGAGUGCAGAAGAGGAGAGUGGAAUUCCACGUGUAGCGGUGAAAUGCGUAGAGAUGUGGAGGAACACCAGUGGCGAAGGCGACUCUCUGGUCUGUAACUGACGCUGAGGAGCGAAAGCGUGGGGAGCGAACAGGAUUAGAUACCGCUGGGUGUAGUCCAA
rnacentral:rRNA from 1 species